rnacentral:rRNA from 1 species
CCAAUAGCGUAUAUUAAAGUUGUUGCAGUUAAAAAGCUCGUAGUCGAAUUUCGGGAUCAAUACGUCGGUCGUGCUUUCGGGUACGUACUGGCGUCAUUGGUUUCUCCUUUCUGACGAACCAUGAUGUCAUUAAUUUGGUGUUAUGGGGAGUUAGGACUGUUACUUUGAAAAAAUUAGAGUGUUUAAAGCAGGCAUUAGCUUGAAUACAUUAGCAUGGAAUAAUGAAAUAGGACGUUCGAUCCUAUUUUGUUGGUUUCUAGGAUCAACGUAAUGAUUAAUAGGGAUAGUUGGGGGCAUUAGUAUUCAAUUGUCAGAGGUGAAAUUCUUGGAUUUAUUGAAGACUAACUACUGCGAAAGCAUUUGCCAAGGAUGUUUUCAUUAAUCAAGAACGAAAGUUAGGGGAUCGAAGACGAUCAGAUACCGUCGUAGUCUUAACCAUAAACUAUGCCGACUAGGGAUCGGAUGAUGUUAAUUUUUUAAUGACUCAUUCGGCGCCUUACG